rnacentral:ncRNA from 1 species
UGUGGUUUUUUCACCCUGAAAGGGAAAGGGGGGGGGGUUUUAACCCUUUGGGAAACAGUUUUUUUUUCCCUAAUAAACAAAAAAGUUUUUGACACACCUUCCUUGGUUAGUAGGGGGGACCGCACGGUCGGACCAAUUGCACCAUAAUUGGUUGGAGGAACCAUUGUAAGGACGCUACGUCCGUUGGAUUAUGCCUGAACGCCUCUAAGGUCGUAUCCGUGCUGGACUGCAAUGAUAAAUAAGGGGCAAUUUGCAUUGUAUGGCUUCUAAACCAUUUAAAGUUUAUUAUUUAUAUUUUAAACGACAAUGGAUGUGAUGCCAAUGUAAUUUGUAACAUAGUAAAUUGGGAGGAUCUUUGAUCACCUGGUGCCAUGCUAGUUACAUAUGAAAACAUUAUUUAAUACAAUGACAAAGCCUAGAAUCAAUUGUAAACGACUUUUGUAACGGGCAAGGUGUUGUAAGUGGUUGAGCAGCUGCCAUACUGCGAUCCACUGAAGCUUAUCCUUUGCUUGAUGAUUCGA